rnacentral:rRNA from 1 species
GAUGAACGCUGGCGGCGUGCCUAAUACAUGCAAGUCGAGCGAACAGACGAGGAGCUUGCUCCUCUGACGUUAGCGGCGGACGGGUGAGUAACACGUGGAUAACCUACCUAUAAGACUGGGAUAACUUCGGGAAGCCGGAGCUAAUACCGGAUAACAUGUUGAACCGCAUGGUUCAACAGUGAAAGACGGUCUUGCUGUCACUUAUAGAUGGAUCCGCGCCGCAUUAGCUAGUUGGUAAGGUAACGGCUUACCAAGGCAACGAUGCGUAGCCGACCUGAGAGGGUGAUCGGCCACACUGGAACUGAGACACGGUCCAGACUCCUACGGGAGGCAGCAGUAGGGAAUCUUCCGCAAUGGGCGAAAGCCUGACGGAGCAACGCCGCGUGAGUGAUGAAGGUCUUCGGAUCGUAAAACUCUGUUAUUAGGGAAGAACAAAUGUGUAAGUAACUAUGCACGUCUUGACGGUACCUAAUCAGAAAGCCACGGCUAACUACGUG